rnacentral:rRNA from 1 species
UAACGAAUCUUCCCCAAUGCACGCAAGUGUGAGGGAGCGACGCCGCGUGGAGGAUGAAGUCCUUCGGGAUGUAAACUCCUGUCAGGGGUUACCAAGUUCUGAGGAGCCCCAGAGGAAGUGGCGACUAACUCUGUGCCAGCAGUCGCGGUAAUACAGAGGCCACAAGCGUUAGGCGGAAUCACUGGGCUUAAAGCGUGUGUAGGCGGGCCGUUAAGUGCCUUGUGAAAUCCCACCGCUCAACGGUGGAAUUGCUUGGCAUACUGGCGGUCUUGAGCCACCCAGGGGCAGCUGGAACGAACGGUGGAGCGGUGAAAUGCGUAGAUAUCGUUCGGAACGCCAAAGGUGAAAACAGGCUGCUGGAGGUGAGCUGACGCUGAGACACGAAAGCCAGGGGAGCAAACGGGAUUAGAUACCCCGGUAGUCCUGGCCCUAAACGAUGUCCACUAGAUCGCAGUGCCUCUGACGGUAUUGCGGUCGAAGCAAAAGUGUUA